AAGGGAAUCUUCCGCAAUGGGCGAAAGCCUGACGGAGCAACGCCGCGUGAGUGAUGAAGGUCUUCGGAUCGUAAAACUCUGUUAUUAGGGAAGAACAAAUGUGUAAGUAACUAUGCACGUCUUGACGGUACCUAAUCAGAAAGCCACGGCUAACUACGUGCCAGCAGCCGCGGUAAUACGUAGGUGGCAAGCGUUAUCCGGAAUUAUUGGGCGUAAAGCGCGCGUAGGCGGUUUUUUAAGUCUGAUGUGAAAGCCCACGGCUCAACCGUGGAGGGUCAUUGGAAACUGGAAAACUUGAGUGCAGAAGAGGAAAGUGGAAUUCCAUGUGUAGCGGUGAAGUGCGCAGAGAUAUGGAGGAACACCAGUGGCGAAGGCGACUUUCUGGUCUGUAACUGACGCUGAUGUGCGAAAGCGUGGGGAUCAAACAGG
rnacentral:rRNA from 1 species